CCGUUUAUUAAAAACUGGAGCAUAACCAGUUCUAAAACGAUCCCUGCCUUCUUGUAUUACGUCUGCCCUACCCCGAUGCUUGGGAAAUCGUUUGUUCCGUGCUUCUCACGAGGAGAUGCCGGAUUUUCAGAGCUUGAAUAUGUCCUGCACCAGGGGAGAAGUAGCUUCGUGUGCCCCCAACCCCUCCUUCCUUUUGAACAGGAAUUCUAACUGCAGUUCAAACAAUAUUUCCUCCCCUUUAGAGACCACCUGGUUCGAACGGUGAAGACUUUGGUGAACGAGCCUGGAGCAGUGAAUGGAAUGCUAUGGGUGUGCUCACAGUACCGUGAAGUGGUGCCGUGGUGCCGGGAGAGGUGUGCACAGACCAGCUGGGUCACCACAGUCAAAGGUGGCUCUCGGCGAAGGAGAGAUGCUCACAGGAUGCGGUCCUACCCAUUUAUUCAUUCGCUGAGCCACGCAGCCAGCCUGCCAUUGGAUGUAUAUGCAUCAAGUAUUCGCUAGGCUGCUUGUGAAAGGGAUGCAAAGGCCAAUGAAGCAAGGCCUCAGGAAGCCCAGAGACUGCCCAAGCUAUGCACCGUCACAACACGAAAACACCUGUCAGAACCAAGAGAAUUCUAAGAAGACAUAAAGAUUAGGUAUAAUGUGGUAUCCUAGACAGAUCCUGGAACAGAAAAAGGCCAUUUGGUAAAAGCCCCAAGCUGGAAACUACCCUAAUGUCCUCCAAUGGAUGACUGAUUCAACGCACCAUGGUGCCUCCAUACUGUGGAAUACCACUCAGCAAUAAAAAAGAACUAACGAUUGAUACAUGCAACAACCUGGAUGGAUCUCAGGGAAAUUAUGCUGAGUGGAAAAAGUCAAUCUCAUGCAUGUAAGUGCUGCAUAUGAUUCUAUUUAUAUAAUGCUCCUGAAAUAAAAUUAUUACAUAGAUGGACAACAGACUAAUGGUUACAAAGGGUUAGGGAUGGGAGGUGGAUUCAACGGAGGUAUACAAGUGGUGAUGAUAUAGUUUUGUAUCUUGACUGUGGUGGUACUUACGUGCAGUUAACAUGAUAAAAAUUACGUACAAUUACAUACAUACACACAAGUGAGUACAUGUCUAAUGGAUAAAAUCUAACUGAUAUGGUCUAUGGAAUGUACCAUUGUCACCUAGUUUUGAUAUUGUGCUAUAAUUAUGCAAAAUGUUAACUUUGGGAAAGGCUGGGUGAGCAGGCACACAUUCAUGAAUCUAUAAAUAUUUCAUAAUACAAGUUUUUUUUAAAACAUACAACUCAGCUGUUUUUAAUGGAAUGUCUGCAUUAUUCUUUGUUUUAAAAAUCCAUGUGACUAGACAAACCAUAAAUUUCACGAGACACGUCUGCCUAAUGUCAGUUCCUAGAUUAAAGUUUUAAUAACUCUCAUUCACAAAGCAUAAAUAAAGCAAGAGAACUUAACACUCACAUUUUGCUCUCAAGAAUCAUGUAUCCUUCACCCUGACUGUCCUACCAAAGCGGUGACAUCUGUAAACUGGUAACGUUAAGAUUUCUGGGGCACCCUGGGCUCAGGAUCCCAGCAUAAGUCACCCAACCUCAAUUUCUCCUUAAAUAGAGUUUUUAAAAUAGUAAUAGUUUAAAUGUUUUGAGCACUAAACUACUGAACAGAAGGUAUGACGAGGACUCACGAGAAAUGAGAAAAUAGGGUCUUGGCUCGUACGGCACACUGAAAGGAGAAAUAAUGUCCACUUAAGCUUUUUAAGCCCUUGGAAAUUUAUCCCGGAGACAGUAAGAAAAAAAAUCGUGGUAGAAUAUUUCAAAUAUAGAUAUUCAGUCUGAUUUGAGUAUUUGUUGAACACUUACCUCGGGCACCUGUUGUGUGACUGACAAGCUGAAGCUCAAGGCUUACCGAGGAGCCUGUGGCUUUGGAAUUCGUGACAAUAACACCGCCAGUGUGACUCCUACUGCUACUAAGUGCAACAUCCUUAGGUACUGGGUUGAGCACUCUACAAACAUCAUCUCAUUUAAUCUCCACGAGGACUUAGUGACAUGGCAUUAUUAUUAUCCAGAUUUUAAAGAUGAAGAAAUUGAGAACAGAGAUGGUGAGAUACUUUCCAAGGUCAACCAACUAGAAAAUGUCAGAAUCCAGAUUGGAAUCGAGGUCACCUGGUUUCAAAAUUCGUGCUUUAACCACUAAUCCCUGUGUCUUCCCUAAGCCUCCUGCUUUAAUUCUUUUUUUUUUUUCCCCUCUGGUCUUUUCUAGAGGCCUCAGUGGCUCUCUACCAGACCUCAGGGCUUGGGCAUUUCCUUGACUUCUUGUUUGUUCUGUUCUGCCUGCUUCCCUCUUCCCGCUCCCCAGAUCCCAUGCGGAGGAUGGACCAGAGCCAAAAGAGCAGCUAGUGAUCUUCUGUCAGAGCUUUGGACAGUGAUGGAAGGAAGCCUGUGUGCGCGCAAGUGUGUGCGUGCACGUGUGUGUGUAUGUGUGUGUGUGUGUGUGUGUGUGUGUAAGAGAAUUGUUUUCAGUUAUAACAGUGAAACCAGUUGGUAAAGUAUAUGAGCCUCUUUUCCGGGCCUUUUUAACCAAAACAUUUUCUCCUUUGUGUUGUGAGGCCUGACACUAGGCACAAAGACUUCUCCGGAUAGACUCUUCUACUCCUCCACACUCUCCUGGGGUCCUUCAUCCAGGCUGGCUUUUGCAGAAACAAGACUACCACCUUGUUCCAGUUAUCUUUCGCUGUGUAACAAGCACCUCUAGACUUAGACAGUAUAAAUUGUUAUUAUCUCUCAGGGCUCUGUGGGUUGCCGGGGCUGAGCUGAGCAGUCCCUGCUCAGGGUCUUUCAUACGGCUGCACUUAGCUAGUGGCUGGGUCUGGGGUUGCCCGAAGGCUCCAUUCCUGGAGCCGAAAUUCAAAUGGCUGGAGAAUCUGGGGCUGGUUGGGCUUCUCUCCACGUGGCCUGUCCACCUAGCUCGCUGUCACGCAGCAUGGCAGUCUCAGAGGAACUAGCAGCCAUGCCCUGGGGCUGGCUCGUACCAACUUGUACGAGGCGAUUCUGUGUAUUUCUUUCCAGUGCUGCAUCCAGUGCUGUCACUUUGGUAGCUUGCAACCGGCCACGGUGGGAGGGAGUACUUAUCUAGAAAAAACACUACAAAGUCAGGGUUACCCCCACCCCGUCCCCAAGAGCCAGGUUACCAGCACGUGACUUUACAUAAUGGUUGGCUUCCCCCAGAGUAAGCCAAGAAACCUAGGAGGAAGCUGCAAGACUUCUUAGAAUCUAGUCAUGGAUGUCCCCAACGUCACUCUCUUCUCAUUUUAUUGGCCAAACAAUUCCCGGAGGCUGGCUGCGAUUCAAGAGGAUUACCAUCCGUGUCCCGUGGCGGAGUUGCAAAGAAAUUGUACAAUACAGGCUCUGGCACAGGACAGGAUCACCAGACUAAUGAUUGACUGGAUUGAGCAGGUGCGGAUCAACCAUUGCAGAAUCACGCUGGCUGCACCAGAAAGGUGAGCCCCUGAGGGAUUCUUCGGAAAGCAAGACUGGGAUCAACACCGUGCUAUUAACACUCAGCCGACAGAGAGGCGGGCUAGCUUGACAUCGAGGGUGGAUGCGCCAGUGAUGGGCUUCCAGGCACCAAAGCCAGGCCUUACUCCAAAUUCUACAAGCUACUACCAACCUAUCAAGACUAUGUACUGCAGGUUCUAGAGGGCAGAUACUGCAUUUAGUUCAUAGUUGUAUCUCCAAUGCCUACGCCAUGCCUGGCACAUGGCAGGUGACGAGUAACUGUGUAUGGAGUGAAUAAAGCUCCACAGAAUCUUUC